UACAGAGGCCUCGAGCGUUAGGCGGAAUCACUGGGCUUAAAGCGUGUGUAGGCGGAUUUCUAAGUACCUUGUGAAAUCCCACGGCUCAACCAUGGAACUGCUUGGUAUACUGGUUAUCUUGAGCCACCUAGGGGCCUGCGGAACAGAUGGUGGAGCGGUGAAAUGCGUAGAUAUCAUCUGGAACGCCAACGGUGAAAACAGCAGGCUGGGGGUGUGCUGACGCUGAGACACGAAAGCCAGGGGAGCAAACGGG
rnacentral:rRNA from 1 species